rnacentral:tRNA from 1 species
UCCCCGAUAGCUCAAUGGUAGAGCGGACGGCUGUUAACCGUUAGGUUCGAGGUUCGAGUCCUCGUCGGGGAGCCA